rnacentral:lncRNA from 1 species
AAGAAGCAUCCAACAGCAUCAGUGCGCUAGCCGAUAACCCAAGACAACCUUACCAUUUUGCUUGACAUCCCGGAACCAUGGACAUCAAAGGCCUGAUCAGUGCAUCAGUGUCAGCUUGCUUUUUCUUCAAUUCCCCUUCUUGCUUAACCCUCGCUGUUUCUGAUUCCUCGAAUUUCUUCAUCAUUUCUUCCAUUUGUUGUUGUUGAGUCUUGAUAACCUCCCUAAGAUCACUUGAUGUUUGUUUCUCCACCACCAGUUCCUCUUCUAGGUCGCUCUCACUGACACAAGUACCUUUGCUUCUGAGCCCCACAUUUACAAGAAAUAUGUUCUUCUUAGUUUUCUGAACAAGAGCCUUAUAGAC